rnacentral:lncRNA from 1 species
UUUUUGUCUUGUCACUAUCUUGUGGCUGUUGUGAGACUGUCUUACCACAGUCGUGGGGUUGUCGUGCGCUAAACACAUUGUCGUGGGUACCAAAAUAAACAUAAUCGUACGACUGUCGCACGGAGAUCGUAAAACAGUCUCACGACUGUCGCAAGACACUCGUGAUACAGUUGCACGAUUGUCGCACGAAUAUCAAAUUGUUUAAAGUGCUUGCACAGCAUUGAUUGUCUGUUGUACGACAGAGGUACGUUCGUCGUGCAAUAGAAUUUCCUAUCAUUUAGAAGAAUACAAUUCUGCGGGAAUGAAUGAUUG